rnacentral:tRNA from 1 species
GGCCUAAGCAGUGGCUAAAGUGCAAAUUUAGCUUGGAAAUGUUUUUCAUAGGCCU